UAACUCUGGUUUCCCUUCAAAACACAUAAAUCUUUCGCCUUUUACUAAAGAUUUCCGUGGAGGGGAACAACUCAAUGAGUCUUAAAUAAUUUUUUCUUGGCCCAUUAAAUUGGGCCU
rnacentral:snRNA from 1 species